GGCCAGGUGCAAGAUCGAUCAGUCAAGAAAUCCUCAUUACACGGUUCCGCGGCAUGGAACUGGCGAUGCCGCUCCGGAAACGGAAAUCACUCUGCCGAGGAACCGAGAAAUUCCGUAAAAUUUCGCCUCCCCUUAUCGCCUCUCCGAUCCAAACGCGAUUAUGAUCAUAAUGAUCGUGCAAAUUUCCCGCAGUAGGUUAAUUAUUAAUUUCUCGUGUUUCUUUCCCCUCCCCAGAGGAACCGUCACGACGUAUCUACCGUGAACGCGUUUUUACCUCCCCAGCAAUAUCGUGCACCGCAAAUUAUAAAAAUACAGAACGACAGGACCUCGGGACAACCAUUACACAGAGACAAAACGCAGUCAAAAACUUCCACGUACUCCACUGAUCCCAAGAAAAAAACGGGAAAAAGCAGAGAGGUCUUCGAAGUCGAUCGCGAUAUGAUAGCCCCGACUUUACGAACGAAUUCACGCAUUAGUAGCGAAAGCAUGCCUACAUCGCAAAUUAGAGAGGCCUACAAGAAGAUUAUUAUUCCUUCAUGGCGAUUUCGAGUUGGAAGCGCGAGAAUAAGGAGGGACACGUGAGAUUUUUAACGAAUUUUCCGAAGGAUUUCGAACAUUUUACAGCCGCGUAUUUUUUGACGAAUAGUACUUUUGUUAAGGUGCAUAAGUUUCCCGAGACAAUCGGGGAUUAACCUUCUUAAAUCACGAGUUUACAUACAUCUCUGUCAAUUAAAAGAUAUUAGCUACAUAUCUUUGUAUUAGAA